GACGAACGCUGGCGGCGUGCUUAACACAUGCAAGUCGAACGCGCCUGUCCUCUGGGUUUCUGGGGGGUGGGUGAGUGGCGAACGGGUGAGUAACACGUGAGUAACCUGCCCCCUUCUUCGGGAUAACGGUCUGAAAGGGCUGCUAAUACCGGGUAUUCACUGGUCUCCGCAUGGGGUCUGGUGGAAAGGUUUUUUUCUGGUGGGGGAUGGGCUCGCGGCCUAUCAGCUUGUUGGUGGGGUGAUGGCCCACCAAGGCUUUGACGGGUAGCCGGCCUGAGAGGGUGACCGGUCACAUUGGGACGGAGAUACGGCCCAGACUCCUACGGGAGGCAGCAGUGGGGAAUAAUGCACAAUGGGCGCAAGCCUGAUGCAGCGACGCCGCGUGAGGGAUGGAGGCCUUCGGGUUGUGAACCUCUUUCGCCCGUGGUCAAGCCGCGACGUGGGUCGUGGUGAGGGUAGUGGGUAAAGAAGCGCCGGCUAACUACGUG
rnacentral:rRNA from 1 species